GUUCACAUACUUUUUCUUGCAACUGUAAUUUUCAAAAUGUUGCAUUUUAAAAUUGUAAUAUAAAUGUAAGAAUAAUUCCAUAAAUACUAUUUAAGCUGUUUUCCCUCUAGAUUCAGUAUCAGUGUUAUUUGGCUUCCCCUGCCGUGUUAGAGCUGUUUGAAGCAAACAGCAAGUGAUACACAGUGAAACAAACACAGCUUCUCUCAGAAAGGAGGAUUGCAAUAUUUUAUUUUUUAAACAAAAGGGGUAAAAAUAAAGUUACUUUAGCAGUAAAAUGUUGUUUUGAAAUUUUUACACAAGCUUUAGAAGAACAGCACGGAGUCUGCUUUUACCUUUCACUGAAAAUCAGACCCUUCAAGCUUCGUACAGCCGGAUGACCAUACGGCUUCUCCAUGUUCAC